GUCUAUGGCCAUACCACCCUGAACACCCGCAAUCUCGUCACAUCUCGGAAGCAAAGCAGGGUCGGGCCUGGUUAGUACUUGGAUGGGAGACCGCCUGGGAAUACCAGGUGCCGUAGGCU
rnacentral:rRNA from 1 species